rnacentral:misc_RNA from 1 species
UUAAGUUCAGCGGGUAUCCCUACCUGAUCCGAGGUCAACAUGAAAAUUUAUCGCGAGACUGGUCCAUCGCCCCAACGUGGCAACAUGUAUGCGCCCGUGGUUUGACGUACCAUCGCUAUUUUUUAGGCAUGCCCAGGGGCAAGGCCCAACAUCAAGUCAGACUUGAGGGGUGUAAUGACGCUCGAACAGGUAUGCCCUUC